UUUAGCGCUAUCAUAGAUAUCAUCGACGAACAUUGAAUAUCGGUUCCAGUAAAUUUUCAGAAAGACAUAACAUGGAGAUCUCUUCAUUCAUAUAUUCAGGUACCUGAAUCUCUCAUGAGAUUUUAUGAAGUGUUAUGUCAUGUGAUCUUCUAGAUCACUUGCCUCCUUAUUAUGAUCACUUUGAUCAUUUGCUUAUCUUCUUUAU
rnacentral:lncRNA from 1 species